UGAAGGCCUUCGGGUUGUAAACCACUGUCMAARGGGAGGAAAUCACAAGAGGCUAUCCUCUUGUGUUGACCUAKCCUUAAAGGAAGGACGGGCUAAGUUCGUGCCAGCAGCCGCGGUAAGACGAACCGUCCAAACGUUAUUCGGAAUCACUGGGCUUAAAGGGUGCGUAGGCGGUCCGACWAGUUGGGUGUGAAAUCCCUCGGCUUAACCGAGGAACUGCGCCYAAAAYUGUCGGGCUAKAGGGAGGSAGAGGKGAGCGGAACUUGCGGKGGAGCGGKGAAAUGYGUUGAUAUCGCAAGGAACACCAGUUGCGAAAGCGGCUCACUGGGCCUCUUCUGACGCUCAGGCACGAAAGCCAGGGGAGCGAACGGRAUUAGAUACCCCGGUAGUCCUGGCUGUAAACGAUGAGCACUAGGCUGGAGACUCCUCCAUAGGUUUCCAGCCGGAGCGAAAGUGUUAAGUGCUCCGCCUGGGGAGUAUGGUCGCAAGGCUGAAACUCAAARGAAUUGACGGGGGCUCACACAAGCGGUGGAGGAUGUGGCUUAAUUCGAGGCUACRCGAARAACCYUAUCCUGGUCUUGACRUGCUYARGASUCUCUGUGAAAGCAGAGAGUGCCCUUCGGRGAGCCUUUGCACAGGUGCUGCAUGGMUGUSKUCAGCUCGUGUCGUGAGAUGUCGCGUUAASUCGCUUAACGAGCGAAACCCUGUUGCCAGUUGCCA
rnacentral:rRNA from 1 species